AAGUGAUCCUCCCACCUCAGCCUCCUGAGUUGCUGGGAUUACAGAUGCCUGCCACCGUGCCUCGCUACAGUACUUUUAUAGGACUGGCAGCACAGAAGGUUUACACCAGCAUCACCACAAACACCCAGCUGCCACAGUGUGAGCUGCCCUAUGGAGAGGCCUCUAUAGCAAGAAAGUGAGGCCUUCAGUCCAGCAACCCUCAAGCAACUGAAACCUGCCAACAACCACAUGAGUCAGCUUGGAAGUGGAUCCAUUACCCAUCAGGCUUUCAGAUGAGACCACAGCCCCGGCUGCCACCUUGAUUCCAACUUCAUGAGAGAUCCAGAGACAGAGAACCUAGCUAAUCUGUGACUAGAUUCCUGACUCACAGAAACUAUGAGAUAAUAAAUGUCUGUUGUUUUAAGCUGCUAAA